CCUACGGGAGGCAGCAGUGGGGAAUAUUGCACAAUGGGCGCGAGCCUGAUGCAGCCAUGCCGCGUGUGUGAAGAAGGCCUUCGGGUUGUAAAGCACUUUCAGCGGGGAGGAAGGCGGUGAGGUUAAUAACCUCAUCGAUUGACGUUACCCGCAGAAGAAGCACCGGCUAACUCCGUGCCAGCAGCCGCGGUAAUACGGAGGGUGCAAGCGUUAAUCGGAAUUACUGGGCGUAAAGCGCACGCAGGCGGUCUGUCAAGUCGGAUGUGAAAUCCCCGGGCUCAACCUGGGAACUGCAUUCGAAACUGGCAGGCUAGAGUCUUGUAGAGGGGGGUAGAAUUCCAGGUGUAGCGGUGAAAUGCGUAGAGAUCUGGAGGAAUACCGGUGGCGAAGGCGGCCCCCUGGACCAAGACUGACGCUCAGGUGCGAAAGCGUGGGGAGCAAACAGGAUUAGAUACCCGUGUAGUC
rnacentral:rRNA from 1 species